rnacentral:rRNA from 1 species
GAUGAACGCUGGCGGCGUGCCUAAUACAUGCAAGUCGAGCGAACAGAUGAGGAGCUUGCUCCUCUGACGUUAGCGGCGGACGGGUGAGUAACACGUGGAUAACCUACCUAUAAGACUGGGAUAACUUCGGGAAACCGGAGCUAAUACCGGAUAAUAUAUUGAACCGCAUGGUUCAAUAGUGAAAGACGGUUUUGCUGUCACUUAUAGAUGGAUCCGCGCCGCAUUAGCUAGUUGGUAAGGUAACGGCUUACCAAGGCAACGAUGCGUAGCCGACCUGAGAGGGUGAACGGCCACACUGGAACUGAGACACGGUCCAGACUCCUACGGGAGGCAGCAGUAGGGAAUCGUCCGCAAUGGGCGAAAGCCUGACGGAGCAACGCCGCGUGAGUGAUGAAGGUCUUCGGAUCGUAAAACGCUGUUAUGAGGGAAGAACAAAUGUGUAAGUAACUAUGCACGUCUUGACGGUACCUAAUCAGAAAGCCACGGCUAACUACGUG